rnacentral:lncRNA from 1 species
AAAAUGAAAAGAAUGUAAAUGUGGAUGAAAAAGUGUAUAGAGUAAUUACUAAUUAAAAAUCAAUCACAAUUGAACAAAGAUAAGUACAUAUCUAUAUGAGUAUUAUGUUGAAAUAUUGAAAAAAAAUGAGAGAGUAGUAGGUAACCAAUUUUGAUUGUUAGCUAGAAGUUUAAUUUAUAAAUAAUUUUUAAAUACAAUAGAUUUUAAUUAGCCCAUGCUGGAGCACGGGUCGAUGGACUAGUAUGUGCUAAUCAUGAAUUAAUUAGGCUUAAUAAAUUCAUCUCACGAAUUAGCCUCCAUCUACAUAAUUGGUUUUGUAAUUAGUUUAUGUUUAAUACUCCUAAUUAGUAUCUAAAUAUUCGAUAUGAUAGGGACUAAACUUUAGUUCGUUGAACCCAACACCCCCUGAGUUACUCCGUUC